rnacentral:lncRNA from 1 species
UUUGGGGAAUCAGACAACUAAAUUUUUACAGAACUGAUAACUGCAAUACUUCAAAGAGUAGGGAAUGAAAUUGAGCGCAGCAACCUGCCUCAGAAAUUCUGGUAUACGUAGACAUAAUAAAUUUGAAGUUUGGAGUUGAUAUUUCUUCUCGAAAGUUGUGCUUAUGAUUAACGGUGUUCUCGAAAGUGCACAGUUUAAAUUAAAAAGUGUUAUAUAAAUAUGGGUUGAAAAAUGGUUAACCGGUUCAGAACUUUAACCGACCUGAAUAAAUAUAGGUCUAAACUUUAACUGACCUGAAUAAAUAAAAAUGGUUAACC